UCAGAGGAUUUAUUCAAAUCCACUAUCUAUUAGAAACACUGUUUUU
rfam:Cicer arietinum chromosome Ca7, whole genome shotgun sequence.